GGACACGCUCGCCUCCCACCAGCCCCCAGGCCCACGCCCCCCAGGUACCUCUCUCAGAUGGAAUCCUCUUCGCAGGCGCCCUGGUCCUCCGUGUCCGGCGAGCAGGAAGAGCGGGAGCUGAAGGACGGCCUCCUCAGGCUAGCGGCCGUGGCUGUGGAGGGCCCGGGCUGCUGUGCCCAGCGGGGACGCGGAGCGGCGUCCACGGACGCCGGGGGAACGGACGAGCCCGGCCCGGGAGAGAGCAGCACAGCGCGGCCGGACUCCGCCGGGCUCGGCUCUGGGCAGGCAGGCGCGGCUCGCCGACGCCUCCCACGCCUCCCAGGACGGCGGCCCAGCAGCCGCGCGCUCCUCUCCUCUCCUCUCCUCGCGCGCGCGCGCCGCCGCCCAGACGCUGCCCGGCCGUUGCCCCGCCCCCCCCUCCGGCGGUGGACUGCGGACAGCGACGGGGACACCCUCCUGGGAGAACUCCUGCGGCCCCGCCCACACGCUUCGGACCUUCGCGCAGCGGGAAGGUGCGCUGACAGGGACGCAGGGUCCCCGCUACGCUCGCUCUCGGGGAACUGCAGCCUCCUCCCUCGGCUUUCACUUGAAUGUCAGACCCGAAACCAUGCAACGUCUACAAGCAAACAUAGGCAGUGUGCUCUUUGACAUCAGUCUUAGCAGCCUAUUUUCAAGUACCACGUCUGACUGGGCAAGGGAAACAAAAUACAAAAUGAACAAACGGGACUACAUCAAAGUCAAAAAACAUCCUCUGCACCGCAAAGGAAACCAUCCACAAAACCAAAACACAACCUAACAACUGGGAGAAGAUUCUUGCAAACCGUAUAUCGGAUAAGGGGUUAAUAUCCAAAACACAGAAAGAACUCAUACAUCUCAACAGCAAAAAAAAUCAACAACCCAAUUGAAAAGGCGGGCAAAAGAUCUGAGCAGUGAUUUCUCCAAAGAAGGUAUACGGAUGGCCAACAGGCAUAUGGAAAGGGACUCAACAUCCUUAGCGAUCAGAGAAAUGCAAAUCACAACUACAAGGAGAUGUCACCUUACUCUGGUCAGAAUGGCUCUAAUUAACAAGACAAGAGACAAGUGUCGGAGAGGAUGUGCAGAGAAGGGAACUCUCCUGCACUGCUGGUGGGAGGGCAGACUGGUGCAGCCACUAUGGAAAGCAGUAUGGAGUAUCCUCAGAAAACUAAGAACACAUCUACCAUAUGUAGAUCCAGCUAGCCCACUGCUGGCUAUUCAUCCAAAGAACUUGAAAACACCAAUGCAGAAAGACACAUGCACCCCUGGGUUCACUGCAGCAUUAUUCACAACAGCCAAAACUUGGAAGCAACCUAGGUGCCCAUCAAGGGAAGAAUGGAUAAAGAAGAUGUGGUAUGUAUACACAAUGGAAUGCCACUCGGCCCUAAGAAAUGAUGAGAUCCGCCCAUUUGUGACAACUUCGAUGGACCUUGAGGGUAUUAUGUGAAGUGAAAUAAAUCAGAGGGACAAAGUCAAACACCGUGUGAUCUCACUCAUAAGGAGAAGAUAAAAACAACGACAAACGCGCACAGAGCAAAGGAGAUUGCAUUGGUGGUUACCAUAGGGGAGGGGGGAGGGGAGAGAGCCAAAGGGGCGAUGAGGCUCACAUGUGAGGUGACGGACUAUCAUUAGUUUUCGGGUGGUGAACACGAUGUAAUCUACACAGAAUUCAAAAUAUAUUACAACGUACAUCUGAAAGCUAUAUCAUCUUAGGAUCCACUGUUACUGCAAUAAAAUAAAAUAAAAUAAAAUAAAAUAAAAAAGUGUAGGAGCCUCAAGAGGCUAACAGGCUUUUGAAAAGUUAUUCCAGGGAAUUUUAUGGCUUAGCUCAGGGCGGCAGACACCAGCCUGAGACACAGCUGUGACACAGCCACUAACUUCAACUCAACUAUAUUCCGACUGGAGGGAAAUCAAAACUACUGUCAUCAUAAUUGAUUGAAGGCUGCACUUUGUGCCAGAUCCUGUGCCGACUGCUUUGCACCAACUGUCUCAUUUAAUCCUCACAUCCAAAAGGUAGGUUACCGUUAUUCUCCCCAUUGUCAAGGUGAGGAGGCGGAAGCAGAAAGAUGGCAAUCUGCCUGGAAUUCACAGAAGGAUUCUCUAGGUAAUGACAUGACUUUUGGACAAGAUUUCAAGGUUUAACACAUUACAGUGCAGAUGCAGAUCCCAGUAUCACAGAACGUGAAAAACACUGAGUCCCGCCAAAUGUAUUAAAACACUAACUAUGGAGCCUCACAAUCUCUUGGCCUGUUUUCUCAGAUGAGGGAAAGCCCAGCGUGAAAAACCGUUGAUGAGAUGUCUGCAGAGGCGGACUACGUCUGGUCUUUAAAGCCGGGAACUAUCCCAGUAGAUUCUGAGUCAGUGGGUCCAGAGUAGGCCUUGAGCGUCUCUGUUCUUUUCCAAAGCCCCACAGGCUACACUUCCGUGCCCUUGGAGUUGGGAAUACAGUCAUGCCCUACAUCGGGACGUUUCAGUCAACAACGGGGGUCCCAUCAGAUUAGUCCCACAUGGCCUAGGUGUGUAGGAGCCUCAAGAGGCUAACAGGCUUUUGAAAAGUUAUUCCAGGGAUUUUUAUGGCUUAGCUCAGGGCGGCAGACACCAGCCUGAGACACAGCUGUGGCACAGCUACUGACUUCAACUAAACUGUAUUCCGACUGGAGGGAAAUCAAAACUACUGCAAUCAUAAUUUCUUGAAGGCUUCACUUUGUGCCAGAUCCUGUGCCGACUGCUUUGCACCAACUGUCUCAUUUAAUCCUCACAUCCAAAAGGCAGGUUACCGUUAUUCUCCCCAUUGUCAAGGUGAGGAGGCGGAAGCAGAAAGAUGGCAAUCUGCCUGGAAUUCACAGAAGGAUUCUCUAGGUAAUGACAUGACUUUUGGACAAGAUUUCAAGGUUUAACGCAUUACAGUGCAGACGCAGAUCCCAGUAUCACAGAACGUGAAAAACACUGAGUCCUGCCAAAUGUCUUAAAACACUAAUUAUGGAUCCUCACAAUCUCUUGGCCUGUUUUCUCAGAUGAGGGAAAACCCAGCGUGAAAAACCGUUGAUGAGAUGUCUGCAGAGGAGGACUACGUCUGGUCUUUAAAGCCGGGACCUAUCCCAGUAGAUUCUGAGUCAGUGGGUCCAGAGUAGGCCUUGAGCGUCUCUGUUCUUUUCCAAAGCCCCACAGGCUACACUUCCGUGCCCUUGGAGUUGGGAAGUACAGUCAUGCCCUACAUCGGGACGUUUCAGUCAACAACGGGGGUCCCAUCAGAUUAGUCCCAUAUGGCCUAGG
rnacentral:lncRNA from 1 species